ensembl:misc_RNA Metazoa_SRP Metazoan signal recognition particle RNA
GCUGGGUGUGGUGGUGUGCACCUGUAAUCCCAGCUACUCAGGAGGCUGAGGCAGGAGAAUUGCUUGAACCCGGGAGUCAGAGGUUGCAGUGAGCCAAGAUUGUGCCACUCCACUCCAGCCUGGGUGACAGAGCAAGACUCCGUCUCAA